rnacentral:rRNA from 1 species
UACAGAGGUCCCAAGCGUUGUUCGGAUUCACUGGGCGUAAAGGGUGCGUAGGCGGUCGGGUAAGUCUGACGUGAAAUCUCCAAGCUCAACUUGGAAAUGGCGUCGGAUACUAUUCGGCUUGAGGAAUGGAGGGGAGACUGGAAUUCUCGGCGUAGCAGUGAAAUGCGUAGAUAUCGAGAGGAACACCAGUGGCGAAGGCGAGUCUCUGGACAUUUCCUGACGCUGAGGCACGAAAGCCAGGGGAGCAAACGGG